AAAUGUUACUGUAGUCCUCCUCUGGCAUUGUGACCUGGAUGCCUGCUGGCCCUGCUCUGCAAGGCUGAGGCUGCAUUCCACCUUUGACAUUUUGCCAUGAUCUUUCCAGUUUGAAGGGAGUGCUGGAAGUGGGGAAUCCCUCAAAGUGAUCUGUCAUCAGAAUUCUCAUUUAAAUGAUGCCAGAAGCAUUACCUUACACUUGGAAAAGCAGAUAUUUUAAUUGUGUUAUGCCAUAUGGUCACUACAAGACUUUUCAGAAACAUUUUUCCAGAGCUGAUCUAAGUGUUAGAGCAAACAUUGACAGCUCAUGUUAUUAGGAAGGACAGAAGAAAGAUCUAAGAAUUAGGAAAGACUGUUGUGUACCGUGAAGGUGUGAGGGAAGUUGAGGCAAUUAUGUCUUGAGUCCAUACCUAAAUCUGAUAGGAUUUACAAGCUGAAGACAUUCAAAUACAAUGGUCUACCUUGGUGUGAAGACUGUCAGAUUGUCACCAUGGUGUAAGGUAACAGUGAACUGCAUCUUUUGAGGAAAUCUGUUGACUUUUUGUAAAAUUAUUUUUUUCUCUGUGAGGCUAUACAUCAAAGUGAUAGAUUUCAAAGACAGUCCCUCUCCAAGCUCCCCAUCUCCCCAGUAAAUAGGGAUAUGGCUUUCAGCAGCACAACCAAUACAGUUAAAAGCCCUAGUUAUAAUUCACCUCUUGUGUAUUUUCAUUUUUAAGAGUCAAGGAGUGAGCAUCUUCAUUACAAAAACUAUGAAACUCAUCUAAAUUAUCUAUUGACCUCCUAUAACCAAUCCAGAAGGUGAUGGCCAUUCAUGUCUGCACACAAAGGCAGGAGGUGGGUCUGAACCAUAAGCAUGUGAACUUUCCUAAACUGUUUCCUACAUUUAUGAGAACCAUUUGUUAAGUAAUUUCAGACGGGCCCAUUUGCAACUGAUGCAGCUGACAGUGGUUAAUUUACAGAAAGUAAAUUAAUAAAUUAGUCAAGUACAUUCAUCAGGGUAAAUUUACCCACCCUGUCUGUACUUGCUCCAGUCUUCUCUCAAGUGGAAAACUUUCCUGUUGGAUCAAAUCACUUACCCAUGUGACAUUUCCUUUAUUUACAUAGACCCAACAAUGUCACACACUUCUGGUAAAAUCCUGUUGAAAUUAGUGGUGAAACUCCUCUAGACGUUCAUGAGGAUUUCUCUCUGACAAAAAAACCUUUCAGAGAAAAGCCAAAUACAUUUAAAUUUCUGCUUU
rnacentral:lncRNA from 1 species